rnacentral:rRNA from 1 species
AUGCGCCAGCUAAUGCUCGUCACCAACAUGAGGGCGCAUAACGACCUGUGGUUCGCAGAUUACUUGCUAAGGGUAGGCAACAAUACCGAGGAAACCGACGAGGAAGGCAACAUAAGGCUCCCCGAGGAUAUUUGUGUGCCGCCAACAGAAGACGACGUUGACCUAGAGAAGCUAAAUGAACAUGUAUUUCCUGCUCUAGACGACAACAUGGCUGAUCCAAAUUACAUGACAUCUCGAGUGAUCCUCUCCACCAAGAACGACAAUGUUGAUACGAUAAACACAUGCAUGAUAGAGCGCUUCCAGGGCGAAGAGAAGAUCUACCAUAGUUUUGAUAGUGUAGAGGAUGAUCCACACGGCUACUAUGCCCCCGAGUUACUGAACAACCUAACUCCCAACGGUCUGCCUCCGCAUGCGCUCAAACUAAAGAUAAAUUGCCAUGUUAUACUGUUGAGAAACAUUGAUUCAACUAAUGGGUUGUGUAACGGUACAAGGUUUGUGGUCCUGGGUUUCUAG